rnacentral:lncRNA from 1 species
GUAGAGUCAGGCAGCAAGCCAGGCUUUCUUCCUGCAAACUUAUCAUAUGCAAAAGUUUAGGUGAUUUGCAUCAUCUUCUGGCCCAGAGGCCUGUUAACAUUUUAAGACCCUUUCUUCAGAAAACUUAUUUUUCUCUAAAGGUAAUUAGUCAGGCACCACCCUCCAAAAGCAUUAGAUAAAGUUGCAUUACUACAGGGCAAAGGUGUGGUGGGCCAUAACAAUAAAAAGAAUUAACUCAAGGGUCCAAGGUUACAAACAUUAAAGCUACUACUUACACCAAUUAUAUUAAUCAAUACACUGCCAGGGACACAGCAGGUAAGGGAUAUGGAAACUUAGCAGCAAACAUUGGCCCAACAAGUGAAAAACCCUUCACCAAUACAAUUUCUAAUCAAUCUUUUAACUGCUCAAAGGAAUCUGUAGACAGUUUAGAACAUCUUAUGCCUCUCACAGUUGGGAGGCUCUGAACAAUCACAUGUGGCCGGAAGAACCUAUUCAGGAGAGAGAUGGUGGUGGGAGACAGCCCCCCAUAAAGUCAGAGGUGUAGGUGAGAGCACAAAGCAGUAAAGUAGGCAGACUCUGGUUUUGGGGGUAGAUGCUCGAGAAUUUCCAGGGGGACUCCUGAGGCUCGAUCCCGCCUUUGCGUAUGCUGAGCCUCCUUCCUCAUGACCUUUGCCACGGGUAGAGUUCCUCAGCCUGGCUCCCUGCAGAAUUCUCCAGGCAAGAAUACUGGAGUGGGUAGACAUUCCCUUUUCCAGGGGAUCUUCCUGACCCAGGAAUGGAAGCCGGGUCUCCUGCAUUGCAGGUAGAUUCUUUGCCAUCUGAGUCACCAGAUAAUGCUUAUGUGGAAAUUACUAUUGGUAAUAAUACAGUUUACAGAGUGACAUGGGUUUUUAAAACAAACAAACAAAAAGUUUUAGAAGUCUUAUAAAUGAUAAACUCAGUUUAAGUAGACAUCAAAUCAAAAUACGCUGUGCAAGUCAGAAGUUCUCCUUGGCAGUGUUUAGCCUCUUUCUUCUGCAGCAGCAGAAAACCAGGCUUAGAAUAUAAUUGCUAAGAUAGAAGCCUACAAAGAAGACUCAACUCAAGCUCAACAGUUUUCCUACCAAAGUCAGGGUCUAGAUAGAAAAAUGGGGAACUCUUGAAACCUGGGUUGGGGGAGUAAGCCUGAAAAUGCUCAAUACCCAGGAUCUUCUAGGUUCUGCUUCUGGGGGUACAGUAGUGAAGACAGUUCUAUCAGGGGUCACAGUAAAGUCACCACUAAACAUAAAGCUAUGAAUAUCACAUUUUGGACUCUUCAUACCAGUCACUCGGUGGGCAAAGAAAAUAGUAACUGUUAAGAGUGGACAACGAACCCUGAUCCAAGUCA